AUUGAACGCUGGCGGCAUGCCUUACACAUGCAAGUCGAACGGCAGCACGGGUGCUUGCACCUGGUGGCGAGUGGCGAACGGGUGAGUAAUACAUCGGAACAUGUCCUGUAGUGGGGGAUAGCCCGGCGAAAGCCGGAUUAAUACCGCAUACGAUCCACGGUUGAAAGCGGGGGACCUUCGGGCCUCGCGCUAUAGGGUUGGCCGAUGGCUGAUUAGCUAGUUGGUGGGGUAAAGGCCUACCAAGGCGACGAUCAGUAGCUGGUCUGAGAGGACGACCAGCCACACUGGGACUGAGACACGGCCCAGACUCCUACGGGAGGCAGCAGUGGGGAAUUUUGGACAAUGGGCGAAAGCCUGAUCCAGCAAUGCCGCGUGUGUGAAGAAGGCCUUCGGGUUGUAAAGCACUUUUGUCCGGAAAGAAAUCCUUGACUCUAAUACAGUCGGGGGAUGACGGUACCGGAAGAAUAAGCACCGGCUAACUACGUGC
rnacentral:rRNA from 1 species